UAGGGAAUCUUCCGCAAUGGGCGAAAGCCUGACGGAGCAACGCCGCGUGAGUGAUGAAGGUCUUCGGAUCGUAAAACUCUGUUAUUAGGGAAGAACAAAUGUGUAAGUAACUAUGCACGUCUUGACGGUACCUAAUCAGAAAGCCACGGCUAACUACGUGCCAGCAGCCGCGGUAAUACGUAGGUGGCAAGCGUUAUCCGGAAUUAUUGGGCGUAACGCGCGCGUAGGCGGUUUUUUAUGUCUGAUGUAAAAGCCCACGGCUCAACCGUGGAGGGUCAUUGGAAACUGGAAAACUUGAGUGCAUAAGAGGAAAGUGGAAUUCCAUGUGUAGCGGUGAAAUGCGCAGAGAUAUGGAGGAACACCAGGGGCGGGGGCGACUUUCUGGUCUGAAACUGACGCUGAUGUGCGAGAGCGGGGGGAUCAAACAGG
rnacentral:rRNA from 1 species